CACUGCUCCUCGCAGGAAGGCGGCAGUUCACCCCGCCACCUGUCUAAACACAUUCUUUAAUACUCCUCGGUGUGCCUCUGGCAUUUUCCGGUGCUCUUCAAUCCCAUAAACAAGAGCACCAAGUCUGACUUCCUAAAACUCCAAGGAGGCGUGGCUUCGGGACCGGAAGAACGUCCGGUUGCCUAGGGAACGCUACGCGCCUAGGCGCCUGCCCAGCCACUGAUGCUCCGGCUGUGGCACAAGCUACCAAUUCACCGAACUUGUAGAAGCGGCUUUGCUCAGUAGCAGGGAUUCUUCCAAUGGAAGCAUAGAGAAGAAGGCUGAGAGACGCCCGAUUCUUAACCCAGAGACGGAUACGAGCGAGUGGCCCAUUCCUGUACCUCUUCAGCUCCUGGGCCCGCAAGACCAACCUCAAAGACCAGCUGGUUUGUAAAUAUUUGAAUCACAUUAUGGGAUUGCUAGACAGACUUUCAGGCUUGCUUGGCCUAAGGAAGAAGGAGGUUCAUGUUUUGUGCCUUGGGCUGGAUAAUAGUGGCAAAACAACAAUCAUUAACAAACUUAAACCUUCAAAUGCUCAAUCUCAAGAUAUAGUUCCAACCAUAGGAUUCAGCAUAGAGAAAUUCAAAUCGUCCAGUUUGUCUUUUACAGUGUUUGACAUGUCAGGUCAAGGAAGAUACAGAAAUCUCUGGGAGCACUAUUAUAAAGAAGGACAAGCCAUUAUUUUUGUCAUUGAUAGUAGUGAUAGAUUAAGAAUGGUUGUGGCCAAAGAAGAACUUGAUACUCUUCUGAAUCAUCCAGAUAUUAAGCACCGCCGAAUACCAAUCUUAUUCUUUGCAAACAAAAUGGAUCUUAGAGAUUCAGUAACAUCUGUAAAAGUGUCUCAACUGCUGUGUUUAGAGAACAUCAAAGAUAAACCAUGGCACAUUUGUGCUAGUGACGCCAUAAAAGGAGAAGGAUUGCAAGAAGGUGUAGACUGGCUUCAAGAUCAGAUCCAGGCUGUGAAGACCUGAAAAGAUAGUAUUUGGAAACUUCAACAAUUUUCAAUUCAAGGAAUGUAUCUUAAGGCAAACUGAAUACUUCAAAUUUUUAAAAGAUGUUUGUGCAUCUAAGAAUACUUUAUAAUCUUCCACUUGCAUUUAUGGACUCUGAAUGAGCUUUUUAAGAACAUAGGACUGCAGAAAACUAUAAAUGCUGGGCAGCAACAAAAAAAUCCAACUACCUGAAGGUUCUUGAGAAUGAACAGAAGCUGGCAUAUUUUGGAAGGGAGCUAAAACUUAGAAGGCAGCACUGCACUGGGGUGAGUUUUGAGGUGUUUUUUUGUUUUGUUUUGUUUUUGUUUUUUGUUUUUUUGUUUUUAAGUAAGCUCUAUGCCCACAGUGGGGCUUGAUCUGACAACCCCGAGAUCAAGAGUUUCAUAUUUUACCAAAUGAGCCAUCCAGGCGACUCCAUUUUGAGGCUUCAAUUCUGAGAACAGGUCACAGUCACAGCUAAAAUUCUGGGCUGCUAAACCUAUGAUAGAAAAUCUACUAUAUUUUGCCCUGAAGAAAAGAGGACAAAGAUCAUGGGACAACCAAAGCCACUGCAAAGUAAACGGAGGAACAUUUAGUAAAGGAUAGAUCCAGAGAAUAGGGGCCUAAAAUUCUAAGUAUAAACAUCCCCAAGUCUCUGGCUGAGUCCCAAACCAGGAACAAACAGCGGGCAGACUCAAAGCAGCUUACAGCUACAACUAAAACAAUGAAAUAAGAUUUGAUUUGCUGUCCACAAUCAGCAAGGGCAAGUUUGCAGUUUCAAUUUAAACAAUUUAAUGUCCCUAUAAAAUAAAAAUGACAACGCUCUCUCGAAUUACAUGAUAGAAUCCACAGUCUACAGCAUAACAUUCAAAAUCUAAGAGACAAUCCAAAUUUACUCGACAUAAUGACUCAUUUUCAAAGGAAAAGCUAAUAGAGGUCAACACAGAUGACUUAAAUGAUCAGGUAAGGACUUUAAGGCAGCUUAGUAAUUUAUCUCAGUGAGAUAAAAGAAAAAAAUUCUUAUAAUAAAUGGAAAUUUUCAACAGAAAAGUAGAAAAUAUAAAAGAAAACUAAAAGAAAUUCUAGAACUAAAAAAUAUAUCGGACACUAAGAAACCACUGCAUAGACUAACAGUAGAAUGAAAAUGACAGAAGAAAUAAUCAGCAAACUUGAAGAUAUAGAUCAAAAGAAAUUUUCCCAUGUGGAGAAGACAGAGAAAUAUGGAAAAAACAAAACAAAACAGAACCUCAGGAUUCCGUGGCAUCAUAUGAAAAGUUAUAUGUGUGUAUAUGUGUAGUUGGGAGUCCCACAGGGAAAGGAAAGAAAGAAUGGGGCAAAAUAAAUUUUUAAAGAAAUAAGGGCUAAAAAUUUCCCAAACUGAAUUAAACACAUAAUUUAUAGAUUCAAAAAGCUCAGCAAAUGCCCAACAGAGUUAAUACAAAACAAAACAAACAAAACCCCUAGGUACAUCAUAGCAAAUGGUUGAAAACCAAAGAAAAUUUCAGAAAUAUCCAGGGUCAAGUGGAGGGAAUCCACCUUAUAUACUGAGUGAUAUAAACUACUGUGGAUUUCUUACCAGAAAUGAUCUAAGCUAGAAGACAGUAGUACAAUAUCUUUAAAGUGUUGAAAAAAAAAGUUGAUCCAGAA